rnacentral:rRNA from 1 species
CCUACGGGUGGCAGCAGUGAGGAAUAUUGGUCAAUGGACGAGAGUCUGAACCAGCCAAGUAGCGUGAAGGAUGACUGCCCUAUGGGUUGUAAACUUCUUUUAUAUGGGAAUAAAACGUUCCACGUGUGGGAUUUUGUAUGUACCAUAUUAAUAAGGAUCGGCUAACUCCGGGCCAGCAGCCGCGGUAAUACGGAGGAUCCGGACGUUAUCCGGAUUUAUUGGGUUUAAAGGGAGCGUGGGUGGAUUGUUAAGGCAGUUGUGAAAGUUUGCGGCUCAACCGUAAAAUUGCAGUUGAAACUGGCAGUCUUGAGUACAGUAGAGGUGGGCGGAAUUCGUGGUGUAGCGGUGAAAUGCUUAGAUAUCACGAAGAACUCCGAUUGCGAAGGCAGUUCACUGGACUGCAACUGACACUGAGGCUCGAAAGUGUGGGUAUCAAACAGGAUUAGAUACCCUGGUAGUC